rnacentral:rRNA from 1 species
CACGUAGGCACCAAGCGUUGUCCGGAUUUAUUGGGCGUAAAGAGCUCGUAGGCGGUUCAGUAAGUCGGGUGUGAAAACUCAGGGCUCAACCCUGAGCAGCCACCCGAUACUGCUGUGACUUGAGUCCGGUAGGGGAGUGGGGAAUUCCUGGUGUAGCGGUGAAAUGCGCAGAUAUCAGGAGGAACACCGGUGGCGAAGGCGCCACUCUGGGCCGAGACUGACGCUGAGGAGCGAAAGCGUGGGGAUCAAACAGG